AUUGGAAAAGCAACGUUAUACAAUAACAAGCUUUUAAGCGUUGUACAUAAUAAUGUACAAUCAACGAUUAACAGUAAAAUGAGCUACAUAGCCAUUGUCACAUUAGUUGUCGGUAUAGUCUUUUACGUAGGAAACUAAAUAAUGUAGUUUAACAUUUUCACUUUCAGAUUGGCAGUAAUUAUCACAGUGAUUAUGUUAGAUAUAGAAGAGAAGCAUCUCCAGACCCUUGGGAUUUUUUUUUUUUCUUUCAAGUAGUACUGUACUGGGAAAAAUCAGUCCCCUUGCAUAUCUGCCUUGUUUAGGAAAUCAUUCCAAGGUCCCCAUAUAAGGUGGAAUUGUUUGGAGGCUUUUAGUGGUGGCGAAGGUAAGCUCCUCCAUUUGUUUUAUUCCUUUUACCUUAUUAAACCAGUCUCUAACAGAGGGGGGUUGUGCCUGUUUCCAUUGUAUUGGUAUUAGCAGGUUUGCUGCCGUGAGUAGGUGUGUAAUGAGUGACAACGUGUGUUUCUUUAUACCUGGGGGUGGGAGAAGGAACAGUACUUAUUCCGGGGAGAACGGUAUACUUAUUCCUGUGGCACUGUUAAUGAGCUUAAUCAUUCGUUCCCAAAAGGCUUAUAUGUGAGUGCAUUCCCAACACACAUGUGAGGGAUGGGCAUUGGGUUGCUGGCAUCUCCAGCAUGUGUGCUGUGUUGUCGUGUAUAUUUUGUGUAUUUUGGCUGGGGUAUAGUGCCAACGGGAUAGUCUCUUAUAGUUUCCCUCCUGUGUAUUUACGCAAGUAGAGGUUUUGUGGGCUCUCAAAAAUAUUUGUCUCCACUGGCCAGUGGAAAUAUCUGAUUGCAUUUCAUUACACCAUUUCCCCACAUAUGCGGGUAAAUCCUUUUCCCGGGGUCUAAGCAAUAAUUUGUACAUUGUGGAGAGCACUUUUCUUUUCAGUUGGUGUUCAGAGCACAUCUGUUCAAAGUCAGUGAGGUCUCUCUCUCCUUUUGGUAGGAGUUGCAUGGUUUGGAUAAAGUGAGUUAAUUGUGCGUAGUGUAACUGCUGUAUCCCUGACGGAUUCUGUGAAGCAGCUAAAAUAUGUAUUGGUAUUAGGUGACCAUCUUUUGCCACCUCCCUUAGUUGGACGUAAUUCCUCUGAUUUGAGUUUAUUAGUUUGCCUGUCUUUCCUGGCUCAUAAAGGGGGUUAUUGGUAAUUGGAUAUAGUGGUGAUGGGAAGCUCGACAGGUUUUCGUUAGUGUGUAGGAUUUGCCAUACCUUGAUAGUGGCCUCUAUUGUCUAAUAUAUUUUUAUCUUUUGACCAGUAACAGACCAAAUUUGGUCUGGACGCCUCUGAUGCACUGAUGCACAGACUGAUGGUAGAAAAAAAAUUGUGAUCAUUUUAAGGUGUCUGAUCAGGAUUUGGAUGCUCGGAUGCCUGAACUCAGCAAACUCAGUCAUUCUUCGAUACUGGAAAUCGGAUACUAUUCCUUUUAUGACUGAGGUGAUAAACAACAUAUUAGAGAUCAAGAGGUGUGAAUUGGCUUUCAGAGUACCCUCAUGCACUCUGGAAACCCUAAGGUAUGAAUAGGGACUCUAGGAGCGGGACGUCAGAAAAAUAUAUUAAGUUUAACACUUACCUCACUUGACCAGACACCAACACAGAAAGUUAUUCAAUCUUAUUUUUGAAACAACAAAAUAAGACACAGCGGAUCUGAGAUCUUUUUAUUUUUUUGUCAUUUGUUAUAAUUCAUAAUUGACAUAAUGUUCAUAACACAAACAAUUUCAUCUAUAUAUGCACUUAAUACUGGAAACAUAUAUUCAUUGUAU
rnacentral:lncRNA from 1 species